AUCGAGCACGAUCAUAAAUUAUGAUUGCGUAACCAAAUAAAAUGGGUACCAAAGGAAAGACCAUCAUCUGUCUUUUUAGAAAUGAUCUGCGAAUUCAUGACAAUGAGGUGCUGCAGUGGGCUAACAGAAAUGCUGACUUCGUACUGCCUAUGUACAUAUUUGACCCCAGACAUUUUGGAGGAACCUAUCACUUUGGGUUUCCUAAGACAGGACCCCACAGAACAAAAUUUCUACUCGAGAGCAUACAGGACUUAAGAAAGAACCUCAAGAUAAGGGGCAGUGGCCUUGCAGUCAGGAAAGGUAAACCCCACGAGGAGUUAAAGAAGAUGAUUGACAUGUUAGGUCAAAGUUCAGUUCAUUCAGUCGUGUUCCAUGAAGAGGUAACUCAAGAGGAACUGGAUGUAGAGAAAUCCAUCAAAAAACAUUGUGGAGUUAACAUCAAAACGUUCUGGGGUCACACGUUAUACCACAGUGAAGAUCUCCCAUUCUCUCCAUCCCAAACACCUGAUGUGUACACACAGUUCAGAAAACGGGUUGAAUCGCAAGCACCUGUCAGAAAGUGCCUGGACAUGCCCAAGUCCUUCAGGCCUCUGCCGGAGGGAGUAGAGGAGGGGGAGAUCCCCACAAAUAAAGACCUGGGAGUGGAAGAUCCAGUGACAGAUCCCAGAUCUGUGGUGGAUUUUCUGGGUGGGGAGUCAGUCGCCAUAGAUAGACUUCACCAUUACCUGUGGGAAACCGAUGCGAUUGCUACUUAUAAAGAAACCCGGAAUGGUCUAUUAGGGGCAGACUACUCUACCAAGUUUUCAGUCUGGCUGGCACUUGGCUCUCUUUCUCCUCGCCACAUUUUCUGGGAAGUAAAGCGUUAUGAGAACGAGAGAACUUCCAAUAAUUCCACAUACUGGGUUCUGUUUGAACUCAUUUGGAGAGACUAUUUUAGAUAUGUAGCAAUGAAGUAUGGAAAUCAGAUUUUUUAUGAAGGAGGUAUCCAGAAUAAAAAUAUCAGAUGGAAGCAGGAUAAACAGUUUUUUCGCGCCUGGAAAGAGGGAAAGACAGGUGUGCCAUUUGUUGAUGCCAACAUGAGGGAGCUAGCAGCCACAGGAUUCAUGUCCAACAGGGGCAGGCAGAAUGUUGCCAGUUUCUUAGCAAAAGACUUGCACUUAGAUUGGCGCUUAGGAGCAGAGUGGUUUGAAUCGAUGCUGUUGGAUCAUGAUGUGUGCAGUAACUAUGGUAACUGGCUAUACAGUGCAGGAAUUGGAAAUGAUCCUAGAGAAGACAGGAAGUUCAAUGUUGUUAAACAGGGAUUUGAUUAUGAUAGUGAGGGUGACUAUGUAAGGACAUGGGUCCCAGAGCUGAAGAAUGUCCAUGGGGGUUCUGUACAUAUUGUGUGGACACUUAGUCGGGGCAUUCUAGAGAAAGCAGGAGUGACCUUAGGGGAGACUUAUCCAAAUCCUGUCCAUGUAGCCCCAGAAUGGAGCCGCCAUUACAGCAAAGCUUCUGGAAGUGGAGGUGCCAGAGGUGGGUCUUCUCAUAGACCUCAGAAAGGAAUAGACUUUUACUUCAAGGGAGGGAACCAGAGGAGGUGAUCACAGAUAGUGCUAAGCCAGGGUGAUUGAAGAUACUCAUGAAUGAAAAUAUUUUCUUUGGACUCAGGUCUGAAAGUAUCAGGGUUAUAUCAUGAUAAUUUCUUGUUUUUAUUUUUUGUCAGUUUUUGCUGAAUUUUGUUUUAAGACGUACACAAUGUGAAAAAAUGUAGAGAAAUGUAAAGUAAUGAAGAAUUUAGAAUUUAAAUCAUUGUUUUUGUUUAAACAGUUUUGUGUUCAAUAUAUUUUAUUCUUUUUGAUAUCUGAUUUCACAAUGGGAUGAAUAUAUGUGGUUUAUUGUUUAGAUGAAUUAAUUGUGGGAGUGGGGUUAAUAGUACACAUAUACAUGUGAAUUAUCAUCCUGAUUGUGUGUAAACACUGCAAUAAUACGCAGUGCCUUUAUGUAUCUACAAGUACAUGCAAUGCUGCUGACUGCCAAUGAGUCUUUUGUUUAAAACUGUUGUACAUAUAUUAAUAAAGAACAUGCUUUAU
rnacentral:misc_RNA from 1 species